CGGUACUAAGAUUUACUUGGGUACCUAAACUCCUCUGAAAAGAUCACCAAAAUUGAGAAGAGAAUUGCUUACCUCGAUCAGAUAUAAUAGACACUGGAUCCCCAUGAAAACAAACUAUCUCUUGAAUAUACAACUUAGCCUAAUCAUCCCCCAAAUAAUUAGUUUGCACUAGAAGAAAAUACACAGACUUGGUCAUUCUAUCUACAAUCACCCAAAUAGAGUCAUAUUGGUUUCAGGAUCUCGAAA
rnacentral:lncRNA from 1 species